AACGCACAUUGCGCCCGCCAGCACUCUGGCGGGCAUGCCUGUCCGAGCGUCAUUUCUACCCUCGAGCCCCUACGGGUUCGGUGUUGGGGUUCUACGGCCAGCGGUCGUAGGCCCUGAAAUGCAGUGGCGGACCCCCUGGCACUCCGGGCGCAGUAGUUUACGCCUCGCCUUCUGGAGGAGCCGGGCGGGUUCUUCGCCUUAAGCACCCAACGCCACCGCCCCGGCGGUGGAAUAGCGAACGGUUGACCUCGGAUCAGGUAGGAAGACCCGCUGAACUUAA
rnacentral:misc_RNA from 1 species